UAGGUAGUAAGAGAGAAAGAGUUAUCAGAAAGAAAGAAAAGAAGAAAGGGAAGAGUAGAGAAGAGGAAAAGAGAAGAAAGAAGAAGAGAGAAAGAAGGAAGAAAGGCUUGGAGGAUAAAAGGAAGAAGCUCAUCAUCACCAUUUUCUACUCAUCAUCCUCACCAACUUCAUCUUGUUCUUCUACUAGACAUUCUAAAGGUGGAAUUGAAUGCAGUACACUCAGAAUUUUAUGAAAGACAAAAUGAUUCGGCACAUAUUCUUAAUCAAUUUAGAUGCCAUUCAUCAAAACAAGGCCACCAAUAUAAUAAAGUG